rnacentral:rRNA from 1 species
UACGAAGGGGGCUAGCGUUGCUCGGAAUUACUGGGCGUAAAGGGAGCGUAGGCGGACAUUUAAGUCAGGGGUGAAAUCCCAGAGCUCAACUCUGGAACUGCCUUUGAUACUGGGUGUCUUGAGUGUGAGAGAGGUAAGUGGAACUCCGAGUGUAGAGGUGAAAUUCGUAGAUAUUCGGAAGAACACCAGUGGCGAAGGCGACUUACUGGCUCAUUACUGACGCUGAGGCUCGAAAGCGUGGGGAGCAAACAGG